rnacentral:rRNA from 1 species
UACGAAGGUCCCAAGCGUUAUCCGGAUUUAUUGGGUUUAAAGGGUGCGUAGGCGGACUAUUAAGUCAGUGGUGAAAGCCCCAAGCCUAACUUGGGAACUGCCAUUGAUACUGAUGGUCUUGAGUACAUUUGAGGUGGGCGGAAUGUGUCAUGUAGCGGUGAAAUGCUUAGAUAUGACACAGAACACCGAUUGCGAAGGCAGCUCACUAAACUGUAAACUGACGCUGAGGCAACGAAAGCGUGGGGGAGCAAACAGG